rnacentral:rRNA from 1 species
GGGGGGGGGGGGGGGGGGGGGGGGGGGGGGGGGGUCGGGGGGGGGGGGCCGGCUGGUGGGGGGUGCUCGGGUGGCGCGCGGGUGAGUAACGCGUGAGUAACCUGCCCUUGACUUUGGGAUAACUUCAGGAAACUGGGGCUAAUACCGGAUAGGAGCUCCUGCUGCCUGGUGGGGGUUGGCACGUUUCGGCGGUUGGGGAUGGACUCGCGGCUUAUCAGCUUGUUGGUGGGGUAGUGGCUUACCAAGGCGUUGCCGGGUAGCCGGCCUGAGAGGGUGACCGGCCACAUGGGGACUGAGAUACGGCCCAGACUCCUACGGGAGGCAGCAGGGGGGAAUAUUGCACAAUGGGCGGAAGCCUGAUGCAGCAACGCCGCGUGCGGGAUGACGGCCUUCGGGUUGUAAACCGCUUUCGCCUGUGACGAAGCGUGAGUGACGGUAAUGGGUAAAGAAGCACCGGCUAACUACGUG